rnacentral:lncRNA from 10 species
CUGAAGAGCCUGCCCAGUGGGUGAGGACACGGUGCACCUGGGGUGCCGAGGAUGGCUGGGACGCUGCUACCCUUCCCUUGACUCCAGUCUCCAUUGGAUGAAUCCAAUGACUGUUGUCUUCAUAAGAGAGAAAUCUGGACACAGACGUAGACAGACGGAGAACAGCACAUGAUGAUGUGACAGAGCUUGGGGCGACGCAUCUACAAGCCGGGGACCCCACGAUUGCCACCACCAGAAGCUGGAGACACUCCUGGAACGGAAUUUCCCUCAGGGCCUCCAGAAGGAGGCAACCCUGUCCAUACCUUGACUUUGGACUUGUAGCUUAC